UACGUAGGGGGCAAGCGUUAUCCGGAUUUACUGGGUGUAAAGGGCGUGUAGGCGGAGAAGCAAGUUGGGAGUGAAAUCCAUGGGCUCAACCCAUGAACUGCUCUCAAAACUGUUUCCCUUGAGUAUCGGAGAGGCAAGCGGAAUUCCUAGUGUAGCGGUGAAAUGCGUAGAUAUUAGGAGGAACACCAGUGGCGAAGGCGGCUUGCUGGACGACAACUGACGCUGAGGCGCGAAAGCGUGGGGAGCAA
rnacentral:rRNA from 1 species